rnacentral:rRNA from 1 species
UACGAAGGGAGCUAGCGUUGUUCGGAAUUACUGGGCGUAAAGGGCGUGUAGGCGGUACCAUAAGUCAGAUGUGAAAGCCCCAGGCUUAACCUGGGAGGUGCAUUUGAUACUGUGGAACUAGAGAUCGAGAGAGGAAAGCGGAAUUACGAGUGUAGAGGUGAAAUUCGUAGAUAUUCGUAAGAACACCAGUGGCGAAGGCGGCUCGCUGGGCCGGUCCUGACACUGAGGCGCGAAGGCGUGGGGAGCGAACGGG